rfam:Brugia malayi, FR3, WGS project CAPY01000000 data, contig: ctg1509911m
GGUCCCGUGGUGUAGUGGUUAGCACUCAGGACUUUGAAUCCUGCGACGGGAGUUCGAAUCUCCCCGGGACCU